CAGCUCACACUGCUCUGCUACU
rnacentral:miRNA from 2 species